AAAAGGAGGAAGAGGAGGAGGAAGAAGAGGAGGAGCCGAGGAGGAGGAAGACCAAAGCCAAGACCAAGGGCUGUGUGUGUGCAUCAUGGCGAGCCGGGUGUCCUGUGGCCUCGAGUUCCCCAUCGUGCAUGAGCUGAGCCACGCCCUUCAGGAGGCUUCAAAGUCGGGGUAUGACUUCAUCUCGGUGCCCCUCGCCCACCCUCGCUUCGGGCGGGAGCAUGUGGAAGGCAAGGCCAAGGAGAGGCCGGGAGCCUUCACACGGUCUGACCUCCUCCUCAGCAGCUCAGAAUGGAACAGUUUGAUAGUUGGAAGGUUAACCAUGUCAUCUAUCCUGAACCUGGAGUCACCCGUCAACAGCCUCCGCAACAACAGCGAGGAAACCCUAAACCAGGAGCUGACCUUUGCCGCUCACCUGGGUUUGCCGGCCAUCACCUUCUCCCUCACGUCAGACCGGUGCACCAACGUGGCCAGGAUGCUUCACAACAAGGUGGUCCAGGGCGUCUGUUACCAGGUGUGGGUGCGGGUGCCCAUGCAGGCGCCGGAGGAGGUUGCCUCCCAGUACCGCUCAGACAGGAAGCAGAGUGAGGACGGCUUUGAGACCGACACGUGGACCUGGUGGAACAAGUUCCACAGUGUAGCCAAUAUUCAGAAGAAGAUUAGCUUGACAUUGGAAGUUUCUGCAGAUCUUCCCGACCAGUCCGUCAUCGACAGGUGGCUGGGUGAGCCGGUGAGGAGUGCUGUGCUGCCCACCUCCAUCUGGCUCAGCAACAAGAAGGGCUUCCCAGUGCUGUCCCGGGGACACCAACAGCUCGUCAAGUCCCUGGUGAAGCUGCACACACAGUUCAUCAUCACAGGCCCACUCAGACACCAACACUACAAGUUUUACCAGCAGUACCUUGAAUACAUUACAAGGACACAGGCUGAAGCCGACCCACUGACGGACUUUGCCCGAGGCUACGAGGACUACCUGCAGUGCCCCCUGCAGCCCCUGAUGGACAAUUUGGAGUCUCAGACCUAUGAAGUGUUUGAGAAAGAUCCCGUCAAGUACAGAGAGUAUGAGCGGGCAAUGUACUUAGCAAUCUGUGACAGGAUCCCCGAGGAGGAGAAAGAUACCAAAGAACUAGUGCUGAUGGUGGUGGGUGCCGGGCGGGGGCCCCUGGUGCGGCGGGCGCUGGCGGCAGCCAAGGCAGCCAAGCGGGUGAUCAAGGUGUAUGCCGUGGAGAAGAAUCCCAACGCUGUGGUGACGCUGCAGGCCCAGCAGGACGAGGACUGGGGAGAACAGGUGACGGUGGUGUCGUGUGACAUGCGGGAGUGGCAAGCCCCGGAGAAGGCCGAUAUUCUGGUGUCUGAGUUGCUGGGCUCCUUUGGUGACAAUGAACUCUCUCCAGAGUGUCUGGACGGUGCUCAAAAGUUCCUCAAAGACGACGGCAUCAGCAUCCCGAGCAGCUACACCUCCUACCUCAGUCCCCUGCAGUCCCCGAAGCUCUACAAUGAAAUACGGAAUUGCCGGGAGAAAGACAAGCACUUCCUGGCACACUUUGAGACUCCGUAUGUGGUCUACCUGCACAACAAGAAGGAGCUGGCCCCCUCACAGCCCCUCUUCACCUUCAGCCAUCCAAACACAGCCAAGGUGAUCGACAACACCCGGUACAAGUCUCUUCAGUUCCAAAUAACCGAAGACAACGUUGUCCAUGGCUUUGGGGGCUACUUUGAGGCCUUCCUGUACAAGGACAUCAUGUUGAGCAUCAAGCCGGAGACACAUUCCCAGGGCAUGUUCUCCUGGUUCCCCAUCCUCUUCCCUCUCAGGGAACCUGUGGCGGUGCGUGCAGGGGACAUCAUGGAGGUGCACUUCUGGCGGUGCACCAACAGGAAGAAUGUUUGGUACGAGUGGUGCGUCACCUCGCCGCAGAUUAUUUCUGUCCACAACCCAAAUGGCCGAGCCUACACCAUCGGGCUAUAACGACGCCUGCCCAUAGGUGGCCUUUCCUUUUCUGCACCUAAUAUUUCAGUUUUGUCCUGCAGGAAUUGGUGCAGUUUAAAAGACAAUACUCAGUGCAUGUUGUAAAGAUAUGCAGAUGACGCAUGAAAUUGGAAAGUUGUCAUUCCAUGGCGAUGGUUGUUUGUGAAUAAAAAACAACCUACCAUCGUCUCCUAACUAUAAUUUUUCUUGUUAUUUUUUAAAAGGGGAUUGUCUAAAUUCUGUUGCUCCGUGAAGGUCCGCUGCAUUAGUGUCCUGUGGUGUGAUGAGGCAGCCCAGCACAGCAGUGUACUCAGUCAGCCCAGACGGAGCUUUCCUGUCUCCUGUAGUAUUGCCUUUGUUACUACUUUUUCUAAGACCAGACGCUUCAGUUUGGUCUUCUGAAAGUUGUGCAUUUAUUUAGUUUAUGCUUUCGUUGAUAUCAUUCACUUCCUGCCCGGUGCUUUGUCAUUUUGUCCUCUAAAAGUAUCCAGAACAGAGAGGUGGCAGUUAUUUGGAUGUUCUGUAAUUCUCACUUCCAGCAAUCCCUUCCUUGUAAGUGGAUCUGUAGAUGCUGGACCUUCUUUUUGUUGUGCAGCGAGGUGGUGCCAUAUUAACAAUCCUUUCAGUAUAGUAUUUCAUUUAGAAAAAAAGUUCCCCUCAUCUUUUCUCAAUCCCUUAUGGUGUUUACAAUUUGUAGAUCUGUUUUGCCUCCUCAUUUCUGCUGAGGAAAGCUUUAAUAAUCUUCAUUACCAGAUAAACAAAAUGCAGUGAUAUCACCAAGCAUCACAGAACAUGCUUAAAAUAGGUUGCCAGAAAACUUAGCAGCUGAAUUCCACAAGCAUAUGGAGGUCAGGACAGCACACCUUUAUUGUGUUGCUAGGAUUUUUUUUCUCUUUUCUUUCUUUCAAAAUGCUGUUGUCAGUUGGUAGUCUUCUUCAUGGAAAAAAUCCACCCAACAGCCAUACAUAGCUGAUGGGAAGACUUGCAUCACUGAAAAAUUUACCAGUGAGAGAAAUUGUAAAGGCAGAGAGAGUGAAGAUGUGCCGGGUGGAGAGCAACAAGACUUCAUGACAUUUCCCUCGGACAUUCUAGAGUUGAAGUAAACCCCUUUACCCUUUCAAGGUACCCUGAAGCACAUCUUGACUUUACCGUGUUCCAGUGACUCUCAGAAGUAAUGUCCACCCCACGGCAACAGCUGCCCAGCGCUCACCCGCACACUGUUCCUUAGGCUGUGUUGUAAGGUCCCUUGGUGUAUUUUUGCCCAUUUUUGCCCAUAUGGGAAGAGGAUGCAAUUAAUGCACUUUUCAUCAGCUUGUUGUGAAUGAUUGAUGAUUUCAUGUUGCAGCUGGUCAUUUCAUGCUGUUACAAUAAGAGGUUAGAGGUAAAGGAAUUAAUAUACUUGCCUCAGAGUGAGCAUUGAUUUUGAUGUACUUACUGAGAUGAUCUUAAGAGUGUUUUGUACAUGAUGUCUGAGGGAAGCUGCUCAUAUGUGCCAAGACAGUGAUGCACCAUGCAGCCUUGCAGGCCAUUCUGCUGCUGCUGCUGCUGCUGCUGCCAUUCCUGAGACUUUGCCAGCUGUUGAAGGAUGUCAUACUUUACCUUACAUGAGUGCCAGUCAAAUGACGUUGACAAUCGUGGAGUGCCACCUCAGCCAGCAUCAUAAGAUCAGUAUUAAACCCUUAACUCCAGAUCUCUCAGACACUUGAAUUUCUGUCUUCUUGCUGUUGAAUUGUGUCACUGAACUAAAUAAUGAUGCUCUUGGAGGUCCAGGGUAGUCUGGGUGUCAAGAGUCAGCAUUUCUGGCAGCUGAGACAAUUGAAUGUGACAUGUAUAAACGAUGUAUAAACAGCAACUCACCUUCAAGUUAAGGUAUUGAAAAGUGCUCAGUACACCAUCCUUGCACUCUAGGCCAGUAGAUCUUAAUCUUUUCAAAGUGACUUGCCCCUUUCAAAGCUUGUUGUAAGCCUUGAUAUCCAACACUAGGAAGCUAGAAGUGACACCUGAUGCUGCUAGCACACAAUGUUACCUGACAAUAGUAUCUUGCUUGUUCCACUGACUUACUCAUCUUCAGUAAGAUCUAAACAUUGCAGUAGGCAACUUGUGGAAACUUUUUAUGUGGACCUAAAACCAUCCCUGGACCAAUAGUUAGAAACUGGUCCCAGCUGUCAAGGGUAGCUACAUUUUUCUGUAGAGAGAAUGACAUUUUGUUAUUUAUGAAGAUCAACCAGCCACGGGCGCAGGACGGAGAUAGACAGCCCAGCCUAACCAAAUGUUUUGCUCUGAUAUUUUUAGUCAGUUACCAAGGUCACUCUUUUCUGAGAUUACUGACACCAUGCAUUGAUUUAUGGAUCCAUGUGUAGUGCGGCAACGGCCUGAUGAACGAGCCUCCCAUAACCCACUUAGCCAGGGGGGUACCUCUUUGGCCGACUCGGUAAGGAGUGGCUCUCCCGUCACGCUGGUCGCGGGUUCAAUCCCAGGCAGCCGGCGAAUACCAUGAUCUUGAUUAAUUUCUCGUGUUAUUUUGAUACACGCAGAGGCCGUGUUGAGAAAUAGGAAGGAUUUAGAAAAGAAGCUCGUCGGGGCAUUACACAUGUUUUCCUACAGUUUUUUUUAUUUCCUCAAACAUUAUGUGGGUUGCCGAGUCAAUACAACAUGCAUUCAUAAUAGUCUCGGUGGCAUGACCCUGACACUUAUUUUCACUGAUAAUCAGAAAAGAGGAAAAAAGCGAUUUCACCCAAUAAUGUAACCCUUCAAUUUAAAGGAUGUUAUUCAUUUCCUGUGCUAAUAUGAAGCCAAUUAUGUCAUCAUCCUCUGCCUUGCUUCCUUUACCAGAUCAAGCAAUCAAAGGCCUUACUCAAAAACAUUACUAACGACCUUUGCUUCUCUCCAUUGCAUUAUGAGAAGCUUCUUUCCUCCCGAUGUACAAAAGUAUAUUUUAAGUCAAUAAAGAGUAAUGUUAAA